rnacentral:rRNA from 1 species
UGAGUAACACGUAUCCAACCUGCCGUCUACUCUUGGACAGCCUUCUGAAAGGAAGAUUAAUACAAGAUGGCAUCAUGAGUCCGCAUGUUCACAUGAUUAAAGGUAUUCCGGUAGACGAUGGGGAUGCGUUCCAUUAGAUAGUAGGCGGGGUAACGGCCCACCUAGUCUUCGAUGGAUAGGGGUUCUGAGAGGAAGGUCCCCCACAUUGGAACUGAGACACGGUCCAAACUCCUACGGAAGGCAGCAG